rnacentral:lncRNA from 11 species
CCUAAAUCAACAUCUAUUUUGACAACACCUUUCCUGGAUUACCAUUUCUUAAUUCUUUUAUGUGUCUUGUUAUUGAAGCAGUCUAUCUUUCAUUUUAUUGAGCAUGUAUCUUUUUUCAUCAGCUGCUUAGAGAAUGAGGACCUAUGAUCUUCCAGAUGUUCUUGGAUACCAACUGCCAUAAACCCAAACUAGCAUGGUGAAUGAAAUAGAAAUAUCAGUUGUGAUCUUGGCUUGGGAAUGGGCACCGUGGAAACAUUUCCCCACAAGAUGGCAUUAGUAAUCUGAAGAAAGUAGAUAAGAAGGCCAGAAGAUCUUGCUUUAAAGGUAUUACUUCA